AGCGAACGCUGGCGGCAGGCCUAACACAUGCAAGUCGAACGAAGCCUUCGGGCUUAGUGGCGGACGGGUGAGUAACACGUGGGAACGUGCCUUUUGGUUCGGAAUAACGCAGAGAAAUUUGCGCUAAUACCGAAUGAGCCCUUAGGGGGAAAGAUUUAUCGCCGAAAGAUCGGCCCGCGUUGGAUUAGGUAGUUGGUGUGGUAAAGGCGCACCAAGCCUACGAUCCAUAGCUGGUCUGAGAGGAUGAUCAGCCACACUGGGACUGAGACACGGCCCAGACUCCUACGGGAGGCAGCAGUGGGGAAUCUUGCGCAAUGGGCGAAAGCCUGACGCAGCCAUGCCGCGUGAAUGAUGAAGGUCUUAGGAUUGUAAAAUUCUUUUACCAGGGACGAUAAUGACGGUACCUGGAGAAAAAGCCCCGGCUAACUUCGUGCCAGCAGCCGCUGUAACAC
rnacentral:rRNA from 1 species